GACUUUGAUCAUGGCUCAGGAUGAACGCUAGCUACAGGCUUAACACAUGCAAGUCGAGGGGCAGCAUAUCGGUAGCUUGCUACUGGUGAUGGCGACCGGCGCACGGGUGAGUAACGCGUAUCCAACCUUCCCAUGACUGGGGAAUAACCUUGCGAAAGUAAGACUAAUACCCCAUGGUUUCCGAGGCGGACAUCCAAUUUGGAAUAAAGAUUCAUCGGUCAUGGAUGGGGAUGCGUCUGAUUAGCUUGUUGGCGGGGUAACGGCCCACCAAGGCGACGAUCAGUAGGGGUUCUGAGAGGAAGGUCCCCCACAUUGGAACUGAGACACGGUCCAAACUCCUACGGGAGGCAGCAGUGAGGAAUAUUGGUCAAUGGACGAGAGUCUGAACCAGCCAAGUAGCGUGCAGGAUGACGGCCCUAUGGGUUGUAAACUGCUUUUAUACGGGAAUAAAGUCAAUCACGUGUGAUUGUUUGUAUGUACCGUAUGAAUAAGGACCGGCUAAUUCCGUGCCAGCAGCCGCGGUAAUACGGAAGGUCCGGGCGUUAUCCGGAUUUAUUGGGUUUAAAGGGAGCGUAGGCCGCCGAUUAAGCGUGUUGUGAAAUGCCGCAGCUCAACUGUGGCACUGCAGCGCGAACUGGUUGGCUUGAGUGCGCGGAAGGCAGGCGGAAUUUGUGGUGUAGCGGUGAAAUGCUUAGAUAUCACGAAGAACCCCGAUUGCGAAGGCAGCUUGCCGCAGCGUAACUGACGCUGAAGCUCGAAAGUGCGGGUAUCGAACAGGAUUAGAUACCCUGGUAGUCCGCACGGUAAACGAUGGAUGCCCGCUGUUCCGGCUAUAUGUUGGAGUGGCCAAGCGAAAGCGUUAAGCAUCCCACCUGGGGAGUACGCCGGCAACGGUGCAACUCAAAUGAAUUGACGGA
rnacentral:rRNA from 1 species